rnacentral:rRNA from 1 species
AUUGAGCGCUGACGGCAGGCCUAACACAUGCAAGUCGAACGGUAACAGGAAGCAGCUUGCUGCUUCGCUGACGAGUGGCGGACGGGUGAGUAAUGUCUGGGAAGCUGCCUGAUGGAGGGGGAUAACUACUGGAAACGGUAGCUAAUACCGCAUAAUGUCGCAAGACCAAAGAGGGGGACCUUCGGGCCUCUUGCCAUCGGAUGUGCCCAGAUGGGAUUAGCUUGUUGGUGGGGUAACGGCUCACCAAGGCGACGAUCCCUAGCUGGUCUGAGAGGAUGACCAGCCACACUGGAACUGAGACACGGUCCAGACUCCUACGGGAGGCAGCAGUGGGGAAUAUUGCACAAUGGGCGCAAGCCUGAUGCAGCCAUGCCGCGUGUAUGAAGAAGGCCUUCGGGUUGUAAAGUACUUUCAGCGGGGAGGAAGGGAGUAAAGUUAAUACCUUUGCUCAUUGACGUUACCCGCAGAAGAAGCACCGGCUAACUCCGUG